rnacentral:lncRNA from 1 species
GCUGAGCACAAUGUAGGCGCUCUAAGACUAAUGAAAGAAUCAAAUCAGGUGUGUGAGUGAUUCAGCAAGAAGUUGAAUUAGAGCCAGCUGCUUCGUCUGAGUUGGGUUAAGUCAGAGGGGGAGGGUUGAUAUUGGGUAAUCAGAACAAAACGAGCUGGAGGGCCAGCCACCUGCUUAGUCGGAGUAAGAAUGCCUGCAGAGACCUGGACCAGAGUGGGCAGAAUGGAGUCACCAUGAAUAUAUGCACCAAGGGAAUGAACACACAAAUUAAAAGGCUGGAGUAUAGUGGUGCGAUCAUAGCUAGCUGCAGCCUUGAACUCCUCCUCAAGCAAUCCUUCCUCCUUGGCCUCGCAAAGUCCUGGGAUUACAGGCGUGAGCUACUGGGCCUGACCUACAAAAUGUUUUAUGCUUUCGCCUAUUAUAGGAGACAUAUUGCUCACCCUUCACGAGAGGUCAAACACCUGAGUUAAAUUUUGGAAAGCUUCUAUAUACCUAUCAGGAUCUUCAGAAAAUCAGACUAAGCCUCCUUUUAUUUGCCUAAGGACCUGCAAUGAGAAGGGAACUUGAACCCUAGUGGCAUCACCUCCAUUGGGAAUUUCCUAUAGGGGGCCUAAAUAGUGUUCCUUGGAGAGAAAAUUACCCUGGGAAUGAAUAAACAAGAGCAAUGCAAAUGUUUCUUUUACAUUAGAUUCUUGCAGCCCUGGAAAUCCUAAAUAAUAAUCAUGGCAAUACUACAUUUAUAAGACUAAAAGAUAGGAACUCAAGAAAAAUUUGGUCAUAGCAGUUGGUGAAAAAGUGAAUUUAAGAGAAGUGACAAAAAGAACUACUUGGGAUAUCCACGACUGUUACAGAUGCUUCGUGGAGGUUCAAAAAGACUACAGAUCAAGGCCAGUGACCUUCUACACAUGGUGGACACUCCAGCCUCUGCUCAAUCUCCAUCCACACUUAAAGGAAAUAGCCAACUCUUGGCCAACCUUCAGGCCUGGGAAGAGGCUCAAGCAGACACUGAAGACGGACUUAAGCAUGACCAAGGACCAGGGUAUAUACACCAGACAACAGAGCCGUUUCAUUUUGGGGGCUCGUUUGGGAUCAGAAUCAGAAUGGAAGGUAGAAACAUCAGAGUGGCUAUACGAUGUCCGGAAGUGGUGGGUUCUUGGUCUCACUGACUUCAAAAAUGAAGACGAAGACGUGGACUCUGGCGGUGAGUGUUACAGUUCUUAAAGGCGGUGUGUCCGGAGUUCAUUCCUUAUAAUGUUGGGAGUUUCUUCCUUAUGGUGGGUUUGUGGUCUCGCUGGCUCCGGAGUGAAGCUGCAGACCUUCGCGGUGAGUGUUACAGCUCUUAAGGCGGCACGUCUGGAGUUGCUGGAUCCUCCCGGUGCGUUUGUGGUCUCGCUGACUUCAGGACUGAAGCUGCAAACCUUUGCCGUGAGUGUUACAGCUUAUAAAAGCAAUGUGGACCCACAGAGAGAACAGCAGCAAGAUUUAUUGGAAAGAGAUAAAGAAUAAGGCUUCCACACUGUGGGAGGGGACCGGAGGGGGUUGCCACUGCUGGCUCCGGCAGCCUGCUUUUAUUCUCUUAUCUGGCCCCACCCACAUCCUGCUGAUUGGUAGAGCCCAGUGGUCUGUUUUGACAGGGUGCUGAUUGGUGCAUUUACAAUCCCUGAGCUAGACACAAAGGUUCUCCAAGUCCCCACCAGAUUAGCUAGAUACAGAGUGUCCAUUGGUGCAUUCACAAACCCUGACCUAGACACAGGGUGCUGAAUGGUGUGUUUACAAACCUUAAGCUAGAUACAGAGUGCCGAUUGGUGUUUUUACAAUCCCUUAGCUAGACAUAAAGGUUCUCCACGUCCCCACCAGACUCAGGAGCCCAGCUGGCUUCACCCAGUGGAUCCCGCCCAGGGGCUGCAGGUGGAGCUGCCUGCCAGUCCCGCGCCGUGUGCCUGCACUCCUUAGCCCUUGGGUGGUGGAUGGGACUGGGCGCCGUGGAGCAAGAGGCGGCGCUCAUCCCGGAGGCUCCGGCGGCACAGGAGCCCACGGAGAGGAGGAGGCUCAGGCAUGGCGGGCUGCAGGUCCCAAGCCCUGCCCCGCGGGAAGGCAGCUAAGGGCUGGCGAGAAAUUGAGCACAGCAGCUGCUGGCCCAGGUGCUAAGCCCCUCAGUGCCUGGGGCCGGUGGGGCCGGCUGGCCGCUCAGAGUGCGGGGUCCGCCCAGCCCACGCCCACCUGGAACUUGCGCUGGCCCGCAAGCACCGCGUGCAGACCCAGUUCCCUCCCGCGCCUCUCCCUCCACACCUCCCAGCAAGCUGAGGGAGCCGGCUCCGGCCUUGGCCAGC